rnacentral:ncRNA from 1 species
GUCCAGAUCCGGGCCCCUCUGGCGGCCGCCGGCCCAUGCGUGGGGGGCGUCCGUGAUGUCGGAUCGCGUGG